GCCUUGCUGCCUUCGUGGUGUUGAGCCGCCCUCUGAAUACAAAACAGCACGGGAAAAGGCGUGCGAAGUACCUUGUCCCCUGAAAAAUGCAACGUAUUCUUUCUGAAUGCAGGAGGAUUUUGGCAAGGUGCUGGCCUGCUGUCACAGCCACUCUAAUAGGAGCCAAGAAUAAUGGGAAUUUUUAAAAAUUGUUGUGUCGCCCUAUCAAAACUUGCCGCUGACACUACUCAGUCAUUUACCGUCACUUCCGCAUCCCGAAGGCCUCACGCUGAAAAGCAAUACCUAACACUCCCGUACCUGUCAUCUCUUCCUGGACAGACGUAACUGAGGCCUCUCCACGCCAGGAUUUGCCGAGUGAGGUGCAAAUUGCCUGUUUCUGGAGAUCUGAAGGAAUUCCGGGUGGGAGAUGAGAGCUCCAGCCCACGGGGAGUGUCCCACACCGGACCCUCCGGCCACGGCCCUGCCACCUCCCGCUCCGAGACAAGGAGAUCUCCUCAAAUCCAGCGCCAGGAGCCGCACCAGGCGCUCCAGGAGGGAAAUGUUCGGAUUUCUCACGUGCGCAGAACGGGAGCGGUAAAUCUGACGAGCAGGGCGCAGGAGCUGCAGGGCCCGCAGGGGAGCGCGCAGGGCGGCUGCAGCGGGGCUGGGGGCAGCGGCAGAGCCACCCCUGCAGCACAAACGUCGCAUCGGAUCCCAGGGUCUCGGGGGUCUGGCAGUCGAGGUGACCCCACGAGCGUAGCGGUCCCGGUUUCCAGCCCGCGCGGCCAGAGGAGGAGUCGGAAUGCGCAGGGUCGGCUUCUCAAGGUUGUUUAUUUUCUCUUAUCUGUACCAUGCUUUCCCCAGGAGCUGCGGUCUGUCCAGCAGGUCGGUCUGUGACAGACUCCCAUCCCCUGGGCUGCUGUUGCCAUUUUAUACCCAAAACUCUGUGUGCUCUGUUUACAGUAACGUGCCAAUAUCUACAAUCUGUGUUGGACAGUGUGUCUCUGCCUUAAAACAAUACAACAGUGUCACCAUCACAGCAAGAUGUGGAGGACAAGGAGAAGGAGAAGAAGGUCAGGACACAGCAAAAUCCCUCCAUCUUGUCCCCUUAAACCCCAUUCUAAAAACCCCAAAAUUCUACCUUUUCACCCUGUGUUAAUUCAGCUACCACACCGCUCAAACCCUUGUGGCUUGUAAUUUCUCACACAAAGUUGGCAGCUUUUUCCAUGGGCUAGAAUCAAAGCCACAGGUGUUUUUGACUUGGUGCCAAGGCCUCCGAGCUCCCUGCCAGGGUCUCGAGACAGCCAGGGCAGCCAGAACCACAGAACCACAGAACCACAGAAUCACAGAACCACAGAAUCACAGAAUCACAGAGUAAUGAGGUUGGAAGAGACCUCUAAGACCAUCAAGUCCAACCUGUGCCUUAACACCUCAACUAGACUAUAGCACCCCGUGCCAUGUCCAGUCUUUUUUUGAACACAUCCAGAGAUGGUGACUCCACCACCUCCCUGGGAAGACAAUUCCAGAACUUUAUUAUUCUUUUUUCCCAAUAAAAUUUUUUCCCAAUA